UACGGAGGAUCCAAGCGUUAUCCGGAUUUAUUGGGUUUAAAGGGUGCGUAGGUGGCCUGUUAAGUCAGGGGUGAAAGACGGUAGCUUAACUAUCGCAGUGCCCUUGAUACUGAUGGGCUUGAAUGAACUAGAGGUAGGCGGAAUGUGACAAGUAGCGGUGAAAUGCAUAGAUAUGUCACAGAACACCAAUUGCGAAGGCAGCUUACUAUGGUUUUAUUGACACUGAGGCACGAAAGCGUGGGGGAUCAAAACAGG
rnacentral:rRNA from 1 species